AAUCAACGCUGGCGGCGUGCUUAACACAUGCAAGUCGAGCGCGAAAGCGGCUUCGGCCGUUAGUAGAGCGGCGGACGGGUGAGUAACACGUGGGUAACCUACCCUCGGGUGGGGAAUAACUCAGGGAAACCUGGGCUAAUUCCGCAUGACAUCCAGAGCUCGCAAGGGCAUUGGAUCAAAGCUGGGGAUCCUUCGGGACCUGGCGCCUGAGGAGGGACCCGCGGCCGAUUAGCUUGUUGGUGAGGUAACGGCUCACCAAGGCUCCGAUCGGUAGCCGGCCUAAGAGGGCGGACGGCCACACUGGGACUGAGACACGGCCCAGACUCCUACGGGAGGCAGCAGUGGGGAAUUUUUGGCAAUGGGGGAAACCCUGACCAAGCAACGCCGCGUGGAGGACGAAGACCCCCGGGUCGUAAACUCCUGUCGGAGGGGACGAAAGCGGUCGUAGUUAAUACCUGCGAUCGUUGACGGUACCCUACGAGGAAGCCCCGGCUAACUCCGUG
rnacentral:rRNA from 1 species